GCAUUUGAAUCAAAUCAACAACCUUCAUAGCAGUCACAAGAUUUUUGAGCCAAAAUGCUUGUUUAGAUGUUACAUGGCAAGCAAUGAACUCUGCCUGCAUUGUCAAAGUAGCAGCACAUCCUUGCUUAGCACUUUUUCAAGAAACUGCUCUUGCAGCCAAAAGGAAAAUAAAGCCAUUGGUCAACUUUCUAUCAUAUGUACAGCCAACAAGAUCCGAGUCCGAGUAUGCAACCAUUUCAAGAUUUUCCAUUUUGCUAUAUACCAACAUGUAGGCCUUUCUUCUUUUCAAAUAGAUGAGCACAUUUUUAGCAGCUAUCCAAUGAGGCUCUCCAAGAUUUGAUUGAAAAUUUUCAAGUACGCUAACAACAAACGCUAAGUCUGGUCUAGUACAAACUUGAGCAUACAUUAGGCUUCACACAAGUGACAAAUAUGGUUUAUCUUUCAUCUUUUCCUUCUCCAAAUCAUUUGCAGGGACAUUUGAUACUUGUUUAGUUUAUCUCAUUUUCCUAUGGGCAACUCACCAUUUGUACAAUUCUCCAUGUUAAACAUUUUGAGAAUUCUAUCAAUGUAAUUCUUUUGUGAUAAUUCCAGAAGAUGUCUCAUUCUGUCUCUUAUUAUUUCGAUUCCUAGGACAAAAUGAGCUUCCCUAAGUCCUUCAUUUCAAAACUGCUAGACAACAUCUUCUUGGUAUUCAUCAGUAAUUGCAAGUCUAAACUUGCCAAUAAGAUAUCUUCAACAUAAAAUACAAAAAAAGGAAUUUGGAACCACUGACUUUGAGAUAAACACAAUCAUCUAGCUUGUUUUCCAUAAUGCUAAAAGAUGUAAUGAUCUAAUCAAAUUUGAUAAACCAUUAUCUGAAGCUUGUUUUAGACCAUAAAUUGAUUUGUUGAGCUUACAUACCAUAGAUUCUUUCCCCUUUCAACAAAUCCUAGAUGUUGUUGCAUGUAGACAUUUUCAUCUAAAUCCUCAUUAAGAAAAUUGGUCUUGAUGUCCAUCUGGUGAAGUUUAAGAACAAAUGCAGUAAGAGCCAUAAUGUCUUUCAUAGAAUCCUUGGAAGAAAUUGGAGAAAAAGUAUCAGUGAAGUCAAUACCUUCUCUUUGAGUAAAACCCUUUGCCACAGUCUUACUUUGUGCCUUUCAACUUUUCCUUGAGAAUCUCACUCGUUUUUAAAGACUCACUGGUGCGAAAUAUAUAAGCACACAAAUUAAACCCUAUUUGUGACAAUUGUAGUAAUGAUGUAAGUAGGGAUCGUUCUAACCGGGGAUUAACUAGGGGUGCUAAACACUUGACUCAAAUAAAUAAAACUAACUUUUAAAACACUAAGACAAACCAAAAGACUCAAAACAAGUUCAAAAGACUCCAAAUACUUAAAAGCAUAAAAUAAGAUAGAUUUGAACGACUAAGACUUUAACAAAAUAUGGGGAGGGGGAAUUGAGUUGUUUUUGACGAGAUUAAAUUAAAUGGACAGAUUAUAAUUAAGGGCAAAAUGUAAAUAUGAAUGCGAUGAAAAAUAUGGAUGAUGGAAUAGCUUAAGGGGUUCUUCUCCACACAUGUCACACUUGCAAUACAAGAUCGAUUCUCAGUUGGUCUUUCGAUAAAUUAUGAAACUUAACACCCUAGGUUAAUUAGGUCCGCUUAAAUUAACCGUCAAGUUCUCCUUAAGUUAAUGAAUUGGAUGGGUUUGCGCAACGCAAUUCACAACAUUCUCCAAAAGUCCUUUACGUGAAAAGCACAAUAAAGAUACAAUCAAAGAUCAUUAAGCAUCAUCAUGAAAACUAUAAGUGUUGACGAGGCAUUCGUUACUAUGAAAAGCAUGAAACUAGUGCCAAGAAUUCAUUUAACGCGAUUGUUUAUAAGCAACCUCC
rnacentral:lncRNA from 1 species